GCCCAACAGCUAGCCCACCCUUAAAAACCAACACCCCCUAUUAAUACCCCCGAACACACACCCUUAAACAAAACAAAACAUUUUUCCUCCCUAGUACGGGCGACGGAAAAGGAACAAUUUUUGAGCGACAGAGAAAGUACCGCAAGGGAAAGCUGAAAGAGAAAUGAAACAACCCAGUAAAGCCCAAAAAAGCAGAGACACAACCUCGUACCUUUGGCAAUCAUG
rnacentral:rRNA from 1 species